rnacentral:sRNA from 2 species
ACACCAUUCUCUAUUCUCUCAUUCAUUUUUUUAAUCUUCUUCCUCACAUGUUUUCUUUACUGAGUGGAAAUCUUUUGAUUUCCAGAUGUAAUUUAAUUAAUUAGAGCUAGUACUGCAAUAAAGAGUACAACUACUAAACUACUUUUGGACUAGUGGAUUUUUAUGAGAAGUCACAAUAGUUUCAAACUUAUUGCGAGGCACUGUAUCUCGAUAAACCUUUUUUUAAAGAUAAAAAAUAAAAUAAUAAAAUAAAUAAAGAAAAAAGUUAAAAUAAUAAAAUAAAUAGCUGCAGGUGUUGCAGUCUGAACUUCACAGACUCCGUUGCUUGGGUCGGCAUAUGGUCAACAUCUGAAGAUGCACCAGACCAUUGAGUUCUGGGUAUUUUAGACCAAAAAAAAAAACGAUGAAAAAGAUGAAAACCAUUGAUUUCUCCUGAUUCUUCACCUUCGCUGCGUUUGCCAAUGUUGAUGUUCGCAACUUGCAAGGCAUUGGUGAGAAAAACAUGAGGGCAGGGUUCGGGCAGGGCGAUUCGUGCCUGAUCAAACAAGAGAGGAUGUUGUCUCCUUACCGCUUCGAUAUAGGGUUUUCUCAAGAGAUCUUAUCUUUCAGCUACAUAGAAUAUGUUUGCUUCUUUUAUCUUUUGAUUGUCUAUUAGUUAGAGGUGAUAUGCUAAGAUUAGGUAGAUAGGGCAACCAUACCUUUGGGCACCUAUGGUCUUUUUAUGAUCGAAAGACAA